AUGAUCAUGGAAUACAAGAUACGUCGAGCUCUUGCCUGCCUCUGUUGCUGUCUGCUGUGCUCAGCUGGAGAAGAGGUUGUCAGACUGCAGGAGCUGGAGGGAAACACUGUAACCAUCCAUACUGGAUUAACUGGAGUUCAGAGUGAUGCACGGAUAUUGUGGUUUUACGGACCUGAGACUAUAAAUAGCAAUAUAGUGGACAGCCAGGUCAUUGAUGGAAACACUAGUACAGAUUUUUACAGAGACAGAUUCAAAGACAGAUUGCAGCUGAACAGAACCAGUGGAUCUUUAACCAUCAGUAACAUCAGCAAAGAAGAUUCUGGAGUUUAUAUAUUAGAGGUCAUUGCUGGAAACACCUCAGUCUGGAGUUUCAGUGUAAAUGUAUGUGCUCCAGUAUCACAGCUGAGCGUAAGAAGUCAAUCUUCUAAGAAACCCCAAAAGUCACUGGCUGCUGUUUUGACACCUGUUGGGCUUGAGAUUGUCGCUAUAUCUUUAUUAAUAUUUAUGUGGUUCUGGAAAAAAAGAUCAAAGGAAAAGGGUCAGAAGGAAGAAGAUAAAUCCAACGGAAGCUCAUGAGGGAGCAGCGCUGAAGUGACAGAAGAGCAAGACCAGAGUGACCCAGUGAAACAGCUAUCAGGAUGUAACUCUGUAUUUCUGCAGCAGUAAAUCCUUAUUCUUUAGUACUUAUACAUUCUUUGCUGACCGCUGCCUUAUUUUGUUUAUUAUAGCCAUUUUUUGUAGUGUUUGCUGACCACUGCCUUGUUUUAUUUAGUAUAACCUUUUUCAUAGUUUUUGUAUAUUUUUUGCUGACACCUGCCUCAAUUUAGAUAGUAUGUGGAAUGUUUUUUAGAGUUAGCCCAAAUCAAUUACUGUGUACCAGCAUGUACAAAAUUAAUUUCUGUAAAUAAUAUUAUUAAAUUUAAAAAAAACCUCCUGCAUUUGCUUGACAUGUUCUUUCAGCUUUUAAUUUUACAUCAUUGUAACACUGUACGAGGGUAUUGUAUUGAUAUUUGUGUUAAUAAAGUGUUUUUGAAGGUGGAACUGAUAUUGACA
ensembl:lncRNA